GCCAUUGUAGCUCAGACGGCUAGGGUGUCUGGCUCCUGACCGGAAGGUCCUGGGUUCAAUCCCAGGUAGGGGCA
rnacentral:tRNA from 1 species